UACGUAGGUGGCAAGCGAUACUCGGAAUCACUAGGCGUAAAGCGCAGGUAGGCGGUUUGGUAAGUCUUUUGUGAAAGCUCCCGGCUUAACUGGGAGAGGUCAAGGGAAACUACCGGACUAGAGUGUGGUAGGGGAUACUGGAAUUCCUGGUGUAGCGGUGAAAUGCGUAGAUAUCAGGAGGAACACCAGUGGCGAAAGCGGCCACCUGGACUGCACCUGACGCUGAAACGCGAAAGCUAGGGGAGCGAACGGG
rnacentral:rRNA from 1 species